GGAAUGGGUAGAAAGGGAGAUGAAAGAAAUAAAGUUUUUUUGUCUUUACCUAACAGUCAUGGGAUGAGCAACUCAGCUUUGCAUGAUUAUCAGAGAAAAAUCCAAAGGCCAGAGAUUCCAUCAGUACAAAUGUCUUAUUUAUUAAAAGUACAAAGACAGACUUUGAAGCAGAAGUUUAAAAUGCCCACCUGGGAAAAACCAGAUGAAAGCUUCACGAUCCAGUUCUGUGACAGGUGAGCCAGCAGCAGGCUCCCCAUGUCUCCUAAGACACAGGCUUCCACCAGAGAAAAGAGAACAUCUAAAGUGCUUUAGUGCAACUUGUCCAAAAGUAAACUUUUUCUUUCUCUGGUGAAGAUGACAAAAGGAAAACUUUAAGUCUACUCGAAGUUUGUAGAAGUAUGACAACUCUUGCCUAGCAGGGAACCUGUGGCUGGGGCUGGCUCCUAGAGUGGCCACGAUGAUAGGAGGGGCAUACUAGGAUUGGCUCUUCAGCCAGGCCUCCAGACAGGUAUGGGGGGCACCAACUUUGUGUAACUACCUUCCCACUCAUUUUGAGAGCCACAGGGUGCUUGCUAUCUGGUGGCUUUCAACUCCCAUUGUCAGCCCUUCCUUGGAGAGAUGUAUUAGAUUAACACUUGCCAUUGAAGAACACAGUUUGGUGUCUUAUUACCUUCUUACAAAGAUCUAGAGCUGCCUUUCUCUACCAGUGCUCCUCAUGUGAACCACAGAGCAUGGGAAGUGGUAUGAGUGACUGUUUCAGCUCAUCAGAGAACAACUACUUGCAUGUAUAGUUGUUGCCGUCAGUGGUCUCGCCCCAGAAGAGGUACAGCCACUCACACAUCUUUCCAAAAUUUGUGAACUCUGUUUUGGUACAGCAAGGAUGAUGCCUGCAAAAUGCUGAGACAGGCAACCACUACAGAAUUUUUCAGGUCUAAUGUAUUAGAAGAUAUAGAUAUGUUAAAAUGUUAGAUAUGUUAAAAGUUAUCAUUGUAAUUGGAAAAUGUGUUGCUUCUUUAAACUGUGGUGGAUCAUUAUACUGAUAAAAUUUAGUAUUCACUCUAUGGGGAAAAAACCCAAGCUCUGCUCCAAACACUUUAUUUCUACAUUAAUUCUGCCACUUUCAUCUUUCCCCCUUCCCUCACCCUUUGGAAGGCUGAAAUAUUUAAGCUGAAGAGAAAAAUCUAAUUUUAAAAAUAAUUUUUGCUUACAACUUGUUUUUGAUUUUUAUAUUAUCUUU
rnacentral:lncRNA from 1 species